rfam:Gorilla gorilla gorilla genomic chromosome, chr4, whole genome shotgun sequence
GCCAGGCGUGGUGGUGCGUGCCUGUGGUCCCAGCUACCUGGGAGGCUGAGGUGGGAGGAUCGCUUGAGUCCGGGAGUUCAAGACUGCAGUGAGCUGUGAUCAUGCCACUGCACUCCAGCCUGGGCAACAGAGCAAGACCUCAUCUCAA